rnacentral:rRNA from 1 species
GAAUCUUCCGCAAUGGACGAAAGUCUGACGGAGCAACGCCGCGUGAGCGAAGAAGGCCUUCGGGUCGUAAAGCCCUGUUGUUAGGGAAGAACAAGUAUCGGAGUAACUGCCGGUACCUUGACGGUACCUAACCAGAAAGCCACGGCUAACUACGUGCCAGCAGCCGCCGUAAUACGUAGGUGGCAAGCGUUGUCCGGAAUUAUUGGGCGUAAAGCGCGCGCAGGCGGUCUCUUAAGUCUGAUGUGAAAGCCCCCGGCUCAACCGGGGAGGGUCAUUGGAAACUGGGAGACUUGAAUGCAGAAGAGAAGAGCGGAAUUCCACGUGUAGCGGUGAAAUGCGUAGAUAUGUGGAGGAAUACCGAUGGCGAAGGCAGCCCCCUGGGAUAAUACUGACGCUCAGACACGAAAGCGUGGGGAGCAAACAGG